rnacentral:rRNA from 1 species
CAGAGACUGCAAGCGUUAUUCGGAUUCACUGGGCGUAAAGGGUGCGCAGGCGGCCAAGUGUGUGAGGCGUGAAAGCCUGGAGCUUAACUCCAGAAUUGCACCUCAAACUACUUGGCUAGAGCAUUGGAGAGGGUAGCAGAAUUCAUGGUGUAGCAGUGAAAUGCGUAGAUAUCAUGAGGAAUACCAGAGGCGAAGGCGGCUACCUGGACAAUUGCUGACGCUCAGGCACGAAAGCGUGGGGAGCAAAAGGGAUUAGAUACCCCUGUAGUCCACGCCCUAAACGGUGCACACUAGGUCUUGGCGGAUUCGACCCCCCCAGGGCCCAAGCUAACGCGUUAAGUGUGCCGCCUGAGGACUACGGCCGCAAGGCUA